UAAUCUGUUUGGAGUAGAUCCUCAUCUGGUUGUGGCAGAUUCAUACUUGACUGCUCAGAAUUACUUGUUACCGUAACCCAACCACAUCACUUUGUAUGCAUCAUUAACUAUCUGGAUACCAUUUCCAGCAAUUU
rfam:Populus trichocarpa scaffold_5_contig_138, whole genome shotgun sequence.